UACGUAGGGUGCGAGCGUUGCCCGGAUUUAUUGGGCGUAAAGGGCGCGUAGGCGGCUCGGCACGUCCGUUGUGAAAUCGCCCGGCUCAACUGGGCGGGGUCAGCGGAUACGGUCGAGCUUGAGCAAGCUAGGGGGCAAUUGAAUUCCCGGUGUAGUGGUGGAAUGCGUAGAGAUCGGGAGGAACACCAGUGGCGAAGGCGGCGACCUGGACCUGUGCUGACGCUGAGGCGCGAAAGCGUGGGGAGCGAUCCGG
rnacentral:rRNA from 1 species